UGUAUUCCAAACCUUGACAUACUAUGUCAGCUGGAUUAUAAAGCACCCAUAGCAUCUCCCAGGGGCCACAGAGAUUUGCCUCGCUGGAGUUCAUGUAAAUCAUUAUCAGAUUCAAAAGAAGACCAAUCUGAUUCUGAAACAACAGAAAUUUUUGUAUUUAAUGAUGAAAAAGCCAUGAUGGAUAAUACCAGUUUCCAAAUGCAGAAUAGCCAAAGCAUCAGUAAACAAGUUGCUUUUAGAGAAGAACUUUACCAUCAAACAGAAAGUCCAACAAAAACAAAGAUUAUUGAUUCUUCCAACACAAUAAAAGAGAAUAAUAUUGUGUCUUUGAGUAUUGAAGAUGAAAUAAAGAAGCCGAAUAUUAAAAUAAUAACGG